GCCUGGCUAGUUCAGUCGGCAAAACGUCAGACACUUAAUCCCAGGGUGCUGGGUUCGAGUUCCAUGUGUUGGGUU